UUUCCGUAGGUGAACCUGCGGAAGGAUCACUAUUGUAUAACCGAGGUGCGAGGGCUGUCGCUGACCCGAAAGGUCGUGCACGCCCGAGUGCCCUCACACACAUCCAUCUCACCCCUAUGUGCACCACCGCGUGGGUCCCCCUUUGGCUUGUUCGGAGGGGGGCUUACGUUUUCACACAAACCCCCCUUUUAAAAGUGUAGAAUGACCACAUUUAUGCAAUCAAUACAACUUUCAACAACGGAUCUCUUGGCUCUC
rnacentral:misc_RNA from 1 species